rnacentral:rRNA from 1 species
CACCGCCCGUCACACCAUGGGAGUGGAAUGCAGCUGAAAUUGCCGGGAGCUGAAAGGCAGGUACUUAGGUUGUGCUUCAUGACUGGGGUG